GGUAGGCAUUGAGGCAGCCAGCGCAGGGGCUUCUGCUGAGGGGGCAGGCGGAGCUUGAGGAAACCGCAGAUAAGUUUUUUUCUCUUUGAAAGAUAGAGAUUAAUACAACUACUUAAAAAAUAUAGUCAAUAGGUUACUAAGAUAUUGCUUAGCGUUAAGUUUUUAACGUAAUUUUAAUAGCUUAAGAUUUUAAGAGAAAAUAUGAAGACUUAGAAGAGUAGCAUGAGGAAGGAAAAGAUAAAAGGUUUCUAAAACAUGACGGAGGUUGAGAUGAAGCUUCUUCAUGGAGUAAAAAAUGUAUUUAAAAGAAAAUUGAGAGAAAGGACUACAGAGCCCCGAAUUAAUACCAAUAGAAGGGCAAUGCUUUUAGAUUAAAAUGAAGGUGACUUAAACAGCUUAAAGUUUAGUUUAAAAGUUGUAGGUGAUUAAAAUAAUUUGAAGGCGAUCUUUUAAAAAGAGAUUAAACCGAAGGUGAUUAAAAGACCUUGAAAUCCAUGACGCAGGGAGAAUUGCGUCAUUUAAAGCCUAGUUAACGCAUUUACUAAACGCAGACGAAAAUGGAAAGAUUAAUUGGGAGUGGUAGGAUGAAACAAUUUGGAGAAGAUAGAAGUUUGAAGUGGAAAACUGGAAGACAGAAGUACGGGAAGGCGAAGAAAAGAAUAGAGAAGAUAGGGAAAUUAGAAGAUAAAAACAUACUUUUAGAAGAAAAAAGAUAAAUUUAAACCUGAAAAGUAGGAAGCAGAAGAAAAAAGACAAGCUAGGAAACAAAAAGCUAAGGGCAAAAUGUACAAACUUAGAAGAAAAUUGGAAGAUAGAAACAAGAUAGAAAAUGAAAAUAUUGUCAAGAGUUUCAGAUAGAAAAUGAAAAACAAGCUAAGACAAGUAUUGGAGAAGUAUAGAAGAUAGAAAAAUAUAAAGCCAAAAAUUGGAUAAAAUAGCACUGAAAAAAUGAGGAAAUUAUUGGUAACCAAUUUAUUUUAAAAGCCCAUCAAUUUAAUUUCUGGUGGUGCAGAAGUUAGAAGGUAAAGCUUGAGAAGAUGAGGGUGUUUACGUAGACCAGAACCAAUUUAGAAGAAUACUUGAAGCUAGAAGGGGAAGUUGGUUAAAAAUCACAUCAAAAAGCUACUAAAAGGACUGGUGUAAUUUAAAAAAAACUAAGGCAGAAGGCUUUUGGAAGAGUUAGAAGAAUUUGGAAGGCCUUAAAUAUAGUAGCUUAGUUUGAAAAAUGUGAAGGACUUUCGUAACGGAAGUAAUUCAAGAUCAAGAGUAAUUACCAACUUAAUGUUUUUGCAUUGGACUUUGAGUUAAGAUUAUUUUUUAAAUCCUGAGGACUAGCAUUAAUUGACAGCUGACCCAGGUGCUACACAGAAGUGGAUUCAGUGAAUCUAGGAAGACAGCAGCAGACAGGAUUCCAGGAACCAGUGUUUGAUGAAGCUAGGACUGAGGAGCAAGCGAGCAAGCAGCAGUUCGUGGUGAAGAUAGGAAAAGAGUCCAGGAGCCAGUGCGAUUUGGUGAAGGAAGCUAGGAAGAAGGAAGGAGCGCUAACGAUUUGGUGGUGAAGCUAGGAAAAAGGAUUCCAGGAAGGAGCGAGUGCAAUUUGGUGAUGAAGGUAGCAGGCGGCUUGGCUUGGCAACCACACGGAGGAGGCGAGCAGGCGUUGUGCGUAGAGGAUCCUAGACCAGCAUGCCAGUGUGCCAAGGCCACAGGGAAAGCGAGUGGUUGGUAAAAAUCCGUGAGGUCGGCAAUAUGUUGUUUUUCUGGAACUUACUUAUGGUUUCUCUUUUUCAGGCUUAUACUCAUGAAUCUUGUCUGAAGCUUUUGAGGGCAGACUGCCAAGUCCUGGAGAAAUAGUAGAUGGCAAGUUUGUGGGUUUUUUUUUUUUACACGAAUUUGAGGAAAACCAAAUGAAUUUGAUAGCCAAAUUGAGACAAUUUCAGCAAAUCUGUAAGCAGUUUGUAUGUUUAGUUGGGGUAAUGAAGUAUUUCAGUUUUGUGAAUAGAUGACCUGUUUUUACUUCCUCACCCUGAAUUCGUUUUGUAAAUGUAGAGUUUGGAUGUGUAACUGAGGCGGGGGGGAGUUUUCAGUAUUUUUUUUUGUGGGGGUGGGGGCAAAAUAUGUUUUCAGUUCUUUUUCCCUUAGGUCUGUCUAGAAUCCUAAAGGCAAAUGACUCAAGGUGUAACAGAAAACAAGAAAAUCCAAUAUCAGGAUAAUCAGACCACCACAGGUUUACAGUUUAUAGAAACUAGAGCAGUUCUCACGUUGAGGUCUGUGGAAGAGAUGUCCAUUGGAGAAAUGGCUGGUAGUUACUCUUUUUUCCCCCCACCCCCUUAAUCAGACUUUAAAAGUGCUUAACCCCUUAAACUUGUUAUUUUUUACUUGAAGCAUUUUGGGAUGGUCUUAACAGGGAAGAGAGAGGGUGGGGGAGAAAAUGUUUUUUUCUAAGAUUUUCCACAGAUGCUAUAGUACUAUUGACAAACUGGGUUAGAGAAGGAGUGUACCGCUGUGCUGUUGGCACGAACACCUUCAGGGACUGGAGCUGCUUUUAUCCUUGGAAGAGUAUUCCCAGUUGAAGCUGAAAAGUACAGCACAGUGCAGCUUUGGUUCAUAUUCAGUCAUCUCAGGAGAACUUCAGAAGAGCUUGAGUAGGCCAAAUGUUGAAGUUAAGUUUUCCAAUAAUGUGACUUCUUAAAAGUUUUAUUAAAGGGGAGGGGCAAAUAUUGGCAAUUAGUUGGCAGUGGCCUGUUACGGUUGGGAUUGGUGGGGUGGGUUUAGGUAAUUGUUUAGUUUAUGAUUGCAGAUAAACUCAUGCCAGAGAACUUAAAGUCUUAGAAUGGAAAAAGUAAAGAAAUAUCAACUUCCAAGUUGGCAAGUGAUUUAAUAAUAAUUUAAAACUACUAUAGAAACUGCAGAGCAAAGGAAGUGGCUUAAUGAUCCUGAAGGGAUUUCUUCUGAUGGUAGCUUUUGUAUUAUCAAACUUUUUUCAGAUAACAUCUUCUGAGUCAUAACCAGCCUGGCAGUAUGAUGGCCUAGAUGCAGAGAAAACAGCUCCUUGGUAUCUCUUCGUUAUCAGAAGAGUUGCUUCAUUUCAUCUGGGAGCAGAAAACAGCAGGCAGCUGUUAACAGAUAAGUUUAACUUGCAUCUGCAGUAUUGCAUGUUAGGGAUAAGUGCUUAUUUUUAAGAGCUGUGGAGUUCUUAAAUAUCAACCAUGGCACUUUCUCCUGACCCCUUCCCUAGGGGAUUUCAGGAUUGAGAAAUUUUUCCAUCGAGCCUUUUUAAAAUUGUAGGACUUGUUCCUGUGGGCUUCAGUGAUGGGAUAGUACACUUCACUCAGAGGCAUUUGCAUCUUUAAAUAAUUUCUUAAAAGCCUCUAAAGUGAUCAGUGCCUUGAUGCCAACUAAGGAAAUUUGUUUAGCAUUGAAUCUCUGAAGGCUCUAUGAAAGGAAUAGCAUGAUGUGCUGUUAGAAUCAGAUGUUACUGCUAAAAUUUACAUGUUGUGAUGUAAAUUGUGUAGAAAACCAUUAAAUCAUUCAAAAUAAUAAA
rnacentral:lncRNA from 1 species